UUGCAGCAGAUUAAGCCAACUGUGCUCUUUCCACUGUGGGGGCCCAGUGUGCCGUGGCUGCAAACAGCAGCCUCCUCUGAGGUAUAUACAGCCUGUUGCCGUAAGGGACCUUGGAGACAGCC
ensembl:snoRNA SNORA70 Small nucleolar RNA SNORA70